GGGCGAUUAGCUCAGUUGGUUGGAGCGUUGCGUUCACAUCGCAAAGGCCAGAGGUUCGAGUCCUCUAUCGCCCACCA
rnacentral:tRNA from 1 species